rnacentral:sRNA from 1 species
UGAAAAAUAAAUGCGAAGAAUCAGCGGCCAAAAACAAAUGUAAAGAGGCAGCUGCUAAAAAGAAAUGUGAAGAAGCGGCUGCUAAAAAGAAAUGUGAAGAAGAGGCUGCCAAAAAGAAAUGUGAAGAAGCGGCUGCUAA